GAGCUUUUACAGUCAGACUACAGUACAUGUACAGUACAGUACAGUCAGUGAUGGAGACCACUACGGUUCCCGUUUCGAUGACCCCAGCUACUCUAGCUCUACAAACCCCAACAAGGAUUUUACACAAUGACACCUGGACAGCAGGAGAAAGAGACAGUGGCAUAUUUCCGUUGCAUUCUGGGAUGCGAGUAGACAGGAGUGUUUGGAGUAAUUAUCAGCUUGGCUGUGCCGUCCAUCUUCAAGCAGCAGGACUAAAGCUCAGGUGGAUCUUAAAAAAGUCAUUGUUUGUUUUUAAAAACAUAAACCACUUUUGCAACACAUUUAAACACAUUUAUUUAUUUAUUUGUUUAACAGGCCUUUAGAAGCAUGUAUUUUAUCCUUGUUUUACCAAUUUUGUUUUGUUUGUUUAUUGAUUGAUUGAUUUUUAUUUUGAUGAAUAACACCAGGUAUAUUAAUUAAAAAACAAAAUAGAAUUGAAUUAGUUUUAAUGAUGAUUUCAAUAUACAAUGUUACUAGUAGCCAAAUGCUUCACUUACAUAUCCCUGCAACACUGAUUUCAAAAUAUAAUUACAUCUUUGGGAUCUUUGAGAAUAGCUGUCAUAUGUGCUUUAUACAGACAUGGUGUACAUUAAGUUUUGCUCUCAUCAGGCAGGAACGAAUCUCCUGCAUAAGAAAUUCCUUACUGAAAAUCUACAAAAAGCCCUCCUUCAAUCUCUUUGUCUUAUUAGCUAAAAAUGGAAUGUGCAAUUACAGUGUGGUUUGGUCCCACUGCAGCUUCACUAUCAAAUGAAUUGAAAUGUUCCCACACAUGCACACAGGAAAUAAAAACGUUCUUCACCUUUUGUUUCCA
ensembl:lncRNA